rnacentral:rRNA from 1 species
AACGCGAAGAACCUUACCAAGACUUGACAUAUACUAGAAAUCCUAAGAAAUUAGGACCUCCUUCGGGACUGGUAUACAGGUGAUGCAUGGUUGUCGUCAGCUCGUGUCGUGAGAUGUUGGGUUAAGUCCCGCAACGAGCGCAACCCUCGUGAUUAGUUGCUACCAAGUAGAACUCUAAUCAGACUGCCGUAGUUAAUACGGAGGAAGGUGAGGAUGACGUCAAAUCAUCAUGCCCCUUAUGACCUGGGCUACACACGUAAUACAAUGGUCAUUAACAGAGGGAAGCAAAGCCGCGAGGCAGAGCAAAUCCCCAAAAAUGAUCUCAGUUCGGAUCGUAGGCUGCAACCCGCCUGCGUGAAGUUGGAAUUGCUAGUAAUCGCAGAUCAGCAUGCUGCGGUGAAUACGUUCCCGGGUCUUGUACACACGC